rnacentral:rRNA from 1 species
GCUACUGGACCUAGCGGCGGACGGGUGAGUAAUGCUUAGGAAUCUGCCUAUUAGUGGGGGACAACAUCUCGAAAGGGAUGCUAAUACCGCAUACGUCCUACGGGAGAAAGCAGGGGAUCUUCGGACCUUGCGCUAAUAGAUGAGCCUAAGUCGGAUUAGCUAGUUGGUGGGGUAAAGGCCUACCAAGGCGACGAUCUGUAGCGGGUCUGAGAGGAUGAUCCGCCACACUGGGACUGAGACACGGCCCAGACUCCUACGGGAGGCAGCAGUGGGGAAUAUUGGACAAUGGGGGGAACCCUGAUCCAGCCAUGCCGCGUGUGUGAAGAAGGCCUUAUGGUUGUAAAGCACUUUAAGCGAGGAGGAGGCUACUUUAGUUAAUACCUAGAGAUAGUGGACGUUACUCGCAGAAUAAGCACCGGCUAACUC